UGGUGGAGCGAUUUGUCUGGUUUAUUCCGUUAACGAACGAGACCUUAGCCUGCUAAAUAAGCCGCGCUAACCCAUCCAUCAAACCCAUGCGCGGCUUCCGAGGUCCGCUGCAAGGUGGCGCUGCCAGCAAUGGUGGCUGUCAUCUUGCCGGUGGGAUCCGAGCUCGUGUGGGCGGUCGGGUUCGGCGUCCGUGCUUCUUAGAGGGACUGCUGAUUAUUUAAAAGCGUUUAGCCAGCGGAAGUUUGAGGCAAUAACA
rnacentral:rRNA from 1 species